rnacentral:rRNA from 1 species
GUGCACGCUGGCGGUAGGCCUAACACAUGCAAGUCGCACGGCAGCACAGUAAGAGCUUGCUCUUACGGGUGGCGAGUGGCGGACGGGUGGGGAAUACAUCGGAAUCUACUUUUUCGUGGGGGAUAACGUAGGGAAACUUACGCUAAUACCGCGUACGACCUACGGGUGAAAGCAGGGGAUCUUCGGACCUUGCGCGAUUGAAUGAGCCGAUGUCGGAUUAGCUAGUUGGCGGGGUAAAGGCCCACCAAGGCGACGAUCCGUAGCUGGUCUGAGAGGAUGAUCAGCCACACUGGAACUGAGACACGGUCCAGACUCCUACGGGAGGCAGCAGUGGGGAAUAUUGGACAAUGGGCGCAAGCCUGAUCCAGCCAUACCGCGUGGGUGAAGAAGGCCUUCGGGUUGUAAAGCCCUUUUGUUGGGAAAGAAAAGCAGCAGGUUAAUACCCCGCUGUUCUGACGGUACCCAAAGAAUAAGCACCGGCUAACUUCGUG